CCUACGGGUGGCUGCAGUGAGGAAUAUUGGUCAAUGGGCGCGAGCCUGAACCAGCCAAGUCGCGUGAAGGAUGACUGCCCUACGGGUUGUAAACUUCUUUUGUAAGGGAGUAAAGUGAGGCACGUGUGCCUUUUUGUAAGUACUUUAUGAAUAAGGAUCGGCUAACUCCGUGCCAGCAGCCGCGGUAAUACGGAGGAUCCGAGCGUUAUCCGGAUUUAUUGGGUUUAAAGGGAGCGUAGAUGGGUUGUUAAGUCAGUGGUGAAAGUUUGCGGCUCAACCGUAAAAUUGCAAUUGAUACUGGUAGGCUUGAGUACAGUUGAGGUAGGCGGAAUGCGUGGUGUAGCGGUGAAAUGCUUAGAUAUCACGAAGAACGCCGAUUGCGAAGGCAGCUUACUAAACUGCCACUGACAUUGAUGCUCGAAAGUGUGGGGAUCAAACAGGAUUAGAUACCCCAGUAGUC
rnacentral:rRNA from 1 species